CUCCGUCGCGAGGGGCUCGAACUCCACGACGUUGCCGAUGUCGUUGGUCGUCGACAUGGAGAUGUUGGUGACGCGUUCCAGGAUCGCCUCGACGACGACC
rnacentral:tRNA from 1 species